AUUGAACGCUGGCGGCAUGCCUUACACAUGCAAGUCGAACGGCAGCACGGGAGCAAUCCUGGUGGCGAGUGGCGAACGGGUGAGUAAAGUAUCGGAACGUGCCCAGUCGUGGGGGAUAACGUAGCGAGAGUUACGCUAAUACCGCAUACGAUCUAUGGAUGAAAGCGGGGGAUCGCAAGACCUCGCGCGAUUGGAGCGGCCGAUAUCAGAUUAGGUAGUUGGUGGGGUAAAGGCCUACCAAGCCGACGAUCUGUAGCUGGUCUGAGAGGACGACCAGCCACACUGGGACUGAGACACGGCCCAGACUCCUACGGGAGGCAGCAGUGGGAAUUUUGGACAAUGGGCGCAAGCCUGAUCCAGCCAUUCCGCGUGCAGGAUGAAGGCCCUCGGGUUGUAAACUGCUUUUGUACGGAACGAAAAGGCGCGGGUUAAUACCCUGUGCCGAUGACGGUACCGUAAGAAUAAGCACCGGCUAACUACGUGCCAGCAGCCGCCGUAACAC
rnacentral:rRNA from 1 species